rnacentral:rRNA from 1 species
UACGAAGGGGGCUAGCGUUGCUCGGAAUCACUGGGCGUAAAGGGUGCGUAGGCGGGUCUUUAAGUCAGGGGUGAAAUCCUGGAGCUCAACUCCAGAACUGCCUUUGAUACUGAAGAUCUUGAGUUCGGGAGAGGUGAGUGGAACUGCGAGUGUAGAGGUGAAAUUCGUAGAUAUUCGCAAGAACACCAGUGGCGAAGGCGGCUGACUGGUCCGGAUCUGACGCUGAGGCGCGAAAGCGUGGGGAGCAAACAGGG